AGUGAACGCUGGCGGUAGGCCUAACACAUGCAAGUCGAACGGCAGCACAGUAAGAGCUUGCUCUUACGGGUGGCGAGUGGCGGACGGGUGAGGAAUACAUCGGAAUCUACUUUUUCGUGGGGGAUAACGUAGGGAAACUUACGCUAAUACCGCAUACGACCUACGGGUGAAAGCAGGGGAUCUUCGGACCUUGCGCGAUUGAAUGAGCCGAUGUCGGAUUAGCUAGUUGGCGGGGUAAAGGCCCACCAAGGCGACGAUCCGUAGCUGGUCUGAGAGGAUGAUCAGCCACACUGGAACUGAGACACGGUCCAGACUCCUACGGGAGGCAGCAGUGGGGAAUAUUGGACAAUGGGCGCAAGCCUGAUCCAGCCAUACCGCGUGGGUGAAGAGGGCCUUCGGGUUGUAAAGCCCUUUUGUUGGGAAAGAAAAGCAGCAGGUUAAUACCCCGCUGUUCUGACGGUACCAAAAGAAUAAGCACCGGCUAACUUCGUG
rnacentral:rRNA from 1 species